UGCUCGGUAGCUCAGUUGGUGGAGCACUGGACUCGUGAUUCGGAGGUUGCAGGUUCGAACCCCGCUCGAGGAA